GACGAACGCUGGCGGCGUGCUUAACACAUGCAAGUCGAACGGAAAGGCCCUGCUUUUGUGGGGUGCUCGAGUGGCGAACGGGUGAGUAACACGUGAGUAACCUGCCCUUGACUUUGGGAUAACUUCAGGAAACUGGGGCUAAUACCGGAUAGGAGCUCCUGCUGCAUGGUGGUGGUUGGAAAGUUUCGGCGGUUGGGGAUGGACUCGCGGCUUAUCAGCUUGUUGGUGGGGUAGUGGCUUACCAAGGCUUUGACGGGUAGCCGGCCUGAGAGGGUGACCGGCCACAUUGGGACUGAGAGACGGCCCAGACUCCUACGGGAGGCAGCAGUGGGGAAUAUUGCACAAUGGGCGGAAGCCUGAUGCAGCAACGCCGCGUGCGGGAUGACGGGCUUCGGGUUGUAAACCGCUUUCGCAUGUGACGAAGCGUGAGUGACGGUAAUGGGUAAAGAAGCACCGGCUAACUACGUG
rnacentral:rRNA from 1 species